rnacentral:rRNA from 1 species
CUAGAGCUAAUACAUGCUGAAAACCCCGACUUCGGAAGGGGUGUAUUUAUUAGAUAAAAAACCGACGCCCUUCGGGGCUCACCGGUGAUUCAUGAUAACUUCGCGAAUCGCAUGGCCUUGCGCCGGCGAUGGUUCAUUCAAAUUUCUGCCCUAUCAACUGUCGAUGGUAGGAUAGUGGUGAGUUCUACCCCUUUCCCUUCAAGUAACCCGUUUCUUUCGCUGCCACCCUUGACGUGGGGACAGCGGACUGUGGGUCUAUGAGAUAAAAGCUAACAAGUCUCCAGGCCUACCAUGGUAUCAACGGGUAACGGGGAAUUAGGGUUCGAUUCCGGAGAGGGAGCCUGAGAAACGUAACCUUCCCCCAAACCCCCCCCCCCAGCUAACCUCUCCACUGGGCUAACGAUGGAACACAGGGCUACCACAUCCAAGGAAGGCAGCAGGCGCGCAAAUUACCCAAUCCCGACACGGGGAGGUAGUGACAAUAAAUACUGAUACAGGGCUCUUAUGGGUCUUGUAAUUGGAAUGAGUACAAUUUAAAUCCCUUAACGAGGAACAAUUGGAGGGCAAGUCUGGUGCCAGCAGCCGCGGUAAUUCCAGCUCCAAUAGCGUAUAUUAAAGUUGUUGCAGUUAAAAAGCUCGUAGUUGAACCUUGGGCCUGGCUGGCCGGUCCGUCUCACCGCGUGCACUGGUCCGGCCGGGCCUUUCCUUCUGGGGAGCCGCAUGCCCUUCACUGGGCGUGUCGGGGAACCAGGACUUUUACUUUGAAAAAAUUAGAGUGUUCAAAGCAGGCCUUCGCUCGGAUACAUUAGCAUGGAAUAAUAGAAUAGGACGUGCGGUCCUAUUUUGUUGGUUUCUAGGACCGCCGUAAUGAUUAAUAGGGAUAGUCGGGGGCAUCGGUAUUCAGUUGUCAGAGGUGAAAUUCUUGGAUUUAUUGAAGACCAACUACUGCGAAAGCAUUUGCCAAGGAUGUUUUCAUUAAUCAGUGAACGAAAGUUAGGGGAUCGAAGACGAUCAGAUACCGUCGUAGUCUUAACCAU